rnacentral:tRNA from 1 species
UCCAUAGUGGCUCAGAUGGUAAAGAACCUGCCUGCAAGGCAGGAGACCCAGGUUCAAUCCCUAGGUCAGGAA